AUUGAACGCUGGCGGCAGGCCUAACACAUGCAAGUCGAGCGGUAGCACAGGAGAGCUUGCUCUCUGGGUGACGAGCGGCGGACGGGUGAGUAAUGUCUGGGAAACUGCCUGAUGGAGGGGGAUAACUACUGGAAACGGUAGCUAAUACCGCAUAACGUCUUCGGACCAAAGUGGGGGACCUUCGGGCCUCACGCCAUCAGAUGUGCCCAGAUGGGAUUAGCUAGUAGGUGGGGUAAUGGCUCACCUAGGCAACGAUCCCUAGCUGGUCUGAGAGGAUGACCCGCCACACUGGAACUGAGACACGGUCCAGAUUCCUACGGGAGGCAGCAGUGGGGAAUAUUGCACAAUGGGCGCAAGCCUGAUGCAGCCAUGCCGCGUGUGUGAAGAAGGCCUUCGGGUUGUAAAGCACUUUCAGCGAGGAGGAAGGGUUCAGUGUUAAUAGCACUGUUCAUUGACGUUACUCGCAGAAGGAGCACCGGCUAACUCCGUGCCAGCAGCCGCGGUAAUACGGAGGGUGCAAGCGUUAAUCGGAAUUACUGGGCGUAAAGCGCACGCAGGCGGUUUGUUAAGUCAGAUGUGAAAUCCCCGCGCUUAACGUGGGAACUGCAUUUGAAACUGGCAAGCUAGAGUCUUGUAGAGGGGGGUAGAAUUCCAGGUGUAGCGGUGAAAUGCGUAGAGAUCUGGAGGAAUACCGGUGGCGAAGGCGGCCCCCUGGACAAAGACUGACGCUCAGGUGCGAAAGCGUGGGGAGCAAACAGG
rnacentral:rRNA from 1 species